rnacentral:rRNA from 1 species
AUACCGGCUGCUCGAGUGAUGGCCACUAUUACUGGGUUUAAAGCGUCCGUAGCUUGACUGUUAGGUCUCUUGGGAAAUCUUUUGGCUUAACCAAAAGGCGUCUAAGAGAUACCGGCAUUCUUGGAACUGGGAGAGGUAAGCCGUACUUCGGGGGUAGGAGUGAAAUCUUGUAAUCCUCGAGGGACGACCUAUGGCGAAGGCAGCUUACCAGAACAGCUUCGACAGGGAGGGACGAAAGCUGGGGGAGCAAACGGGAUUAGAUACCCCGGUAGUCCCAGCCGUAAACAAUGUGCGUUAGGUGUGUCGGUUACCACGCGUAACUGAUGCGCCGAAGAGAAAUCGUGAAACGCACCACCUGGGAAGUACGGUCGCAAGGCUGAAACUCAAAUGAAUUGGCGGGG